rnacentral:rRNA from 1 species
CGGGGAGAAAGGUGGCUUUAUGCUGCCGCUAAUGGAUGAGCUCGCGUACUAUUAGCUUGUUGGUGAGGUAAAGGCUCACCAAGGCUUUGAUGGUUAACCGGCCUGAUAGGGUGUACGGUCACAUUGGGACUGAGAUACGGUCCAGACUCCUACGGGAGGCAGCAUUGAGGAAUAUUGCGCAAUGGACGAAAGUCUGACGCGAGCGACGCCGCGUGGGGGAUGAAGGCUUUCGGGUCGUACACUCCUGUUAAGCUGGAAGAAAGCUUGCUUUCUAAUUCAAAGCAAGUAUGACGGUACCGCUAGAGAAAGCACCGGCUAACUUCGUGCCAGCAGUCGCGGUAAUACCAGGGGUGCUACCGUUAUUCGGAAUAAGUGGGCGUAAAGGGUGUGUACACGGUACAUUAAGCUUGUUGUUAAACCCUCCGGCCUAACCGGAGAUCAGCAAUGAGAACUGAUGCACUAGAGGAUGGAAGAGAGAAGUGGAAUUCCCGGAGUAGCGGUAAAAUGCGUAGAUCUCGGGAGGAACACCGAUGGCGAAGGCAGCUUCUUGGUCCAUUCCUGACGUUGAGACACGAAAGCGUGGGGAGCAAACAGGAUUAGAUACCCUGGUAGUCCACGCCGUAAACGCUGAUCACUGGAUGUUGGCUUAGCUCUGCUAAGUCAGUAUCGAAGCUAACGCGUUAAGUGAUCCGCCUGGGGAGUACGGUCGCAAGAUUAAAACUCAAAGGAAUUGACGGGGGUCCGCACAAGCGGUGGAACAUGUGGUUUAAUUCGUCGCUACGCGAGGAACCUUACCUGGGCUUGACAUGUAUUUGACAGCUGUAGAAAUACAGUCUUCUAGAUUUCGGUUUAGACAGAUACACAGGUGCUGCAUGGUUGUCGUCAGCUCGUGUCGUGAGAUGUUGGGUUAAGUCCUCUAACGAGCGCAACCCUUGUCAUCAGUUGCCACUGCCUUCGGGUAAAGCACUCUGAUGAGACUGCCUGGGAAACCAGGAGGAAGGUGGGGAUGACGUCAAAUCAUCAUGGUCCUUAUGUCCAGGGCUACACACGUGUUACAAUGGUCGGUACAAAGGGUUGCGAUACCGCGAGGUGGAGCUAAUCCCAUAAAGCCGAUCUAAGUUCGGAUUGAGGUCUGCAACUCGACCUCAUGAAGUUGAAAUCGCUAGUAAUCGCGUAUCAGCAACGACGCGGUGAUACGUUCUCGGACCUUGUACACACCGCCCGUCACACCACGAAAGUUGUCUGUACCCAAAGUUAUCUUAGCCAACCUGCAAAGGAGGCGGAUACCUAAG